rnacentral:miRNA from 1 species
GAGGUAGAAGGAUCACUUGAGCCCAGGAGUUUGAGGCUGCAGUGAACUAUGACUACACCACUGCACUCCAGCCUGAGUGACAGAGUGAGACCUUGUCUC